CAGGCACCUCCAUGAUGGUCUGAGACAGCUGCUUAUAGUUAUGGAGAAGAAGGGCCCUGGGGGCAUACCCCCUAGGUCCUGAUUUCAGAUCCCUGCUCUUUCCUGGAGGACGGGCCGUGGCGCUUCCUUGUGACACACCGUCUCUCACAGCUCUGGCUUCCUUACCUGGAAAGCAGAGCUCUGAAUAAUUCCCUGAUCAGAUGGCAUGCGACCUGUGGUUGUCAUGGAUCCAACGUCAUGAAUGAGCUUCAGAAGGAAGGGAAAGCCACACCAGUUCCCUCGGUACCUCUCGGCGGCUGUGUCAUCGGGAAAGACCCCAAAAUGUGUCCGAGGAAGGUGCCAGGUGCUGCUCACAAAGCCUUGCAUGGAGCUGGUGGCUGGACUUGAGUUACAGCUGUGCCUCCGUUCCGGGCCUGGCUUCUGAACCUCCUAGUGGAUCCUUUGAUGUGUGUGCAUUUUCCCAGCUUGGAGAUGUUGCUGGCAGACUGCAUGGUUGGCAGGAGCGAGGCAGAGCAUUGGCCCUCUGCGGAACUGGCAGGGAACAGGGUCUUGAGAUGCGUCAUCUUCUGUGUUGCUGUGGAAGCACAUUGUGUUUGUGUGGCGUGUGACCUCAGUCUAUGCAGCUGGAGACCCCUGGCCUGGGUUACAGCUGAUACGGAAACAAGUGAUACUGACCUUGGCAAGGCUCUUCCUGCUGCCCUGGGAGCUCAGCCCGCUCACCCUGUAUCUGCAGACUCCAUUGGAGGACGUGGUCCUUCCCAACCCGCAAUGCUCCCGCCUCACCUAAGACCUUCCCUGUGGCCAUGGAAACAACUCGGCCAUAUCUGGAUGGAUAGGCAGCAGAGAAAACCAACUGGGCUUAGGAAUAUUAGUGUAAUUUAUGCAACAAAUGUUUUUAUGUUCAGAGAUAGAAUUAUAAAUCUCUUUUACAUAUUCAUAUGCAAAUGUGGAGCAGCUCCAGUACUCCCAUAAUGGAUGAGCGUCUGUAAUGACUUGUGUCCUAGUCAAGUUUAAUGGAGGAGGGAAAAAUAAACACACACACACACCCAAACCAGAGUUACAUUGGGUCUGAUUACAGGGCACAGAAGUAAAAGGUGUUGGUGGAAAAUUCACCGCUCUUAGAGAACAUGCAUCAGACAGAGUCGACUCUAAAGGUUUAAUAGCUGAAUAAUUAUUUACAGUCAACAAUUCUCAACUAUUAAUGGACUUCGCCUUGCUGACUCCUACCAUUCAGUCAUUUCACUCCUUGCCUUCAUCAUAG
ensembl:lincRNA